GUGGUCAUAGUAUAGUGGUUAGUAUAAGUCGUUGUGGCGACACAAGUCCGACUAGACCCAGGUUCGAUUCCUGGUGACCACA